AUAGUGGUCAUAGAUGAUGACAAAAGUGAAACCUGUAAUGAAGAUUUAGCAGGAACUACUGAUGAAAAAUCAUUAGAACGAGUGUCACUGUCUGCAGAAAGUCUCCUGAAAGCAGCAUCCUCUGUUCGCAGUGGAAAAAAUUCAUCCCCUAUAAACUGCUCCAGAGCAGAGAAGGGUGUAGCUAGAGUUGUGAAUAUCACUUCCCCUGGGCACGAUGCUUCAUCCAGGUCUCCUACUACCACUGCAUCUGUGUCAGCAACAGCAGCUCCAAGGUGGCAGUCACAGACCAGACAAGAAAGCUGAAGCGUCAUCCAGACAAGACUGAGCCAUACCUUCAGCCAGGACAGACUCAUAUGGAAAAGCUCUCUAAAGAGAAGGGAAUCCCUCCAUGAUAAAUGCUUAGUUUAACAUGUUCGACUGGUGCUCAAUUGUCUAUUGGCUGACAAAUCAUUUCCAUAAGCUGGGCUUUUCUAGCACAAUCCUCUGAAAUAAAAAUGUGAAAAAGCAAA
rnacentral:sRNA from 1 species